GAUGAACGCUGGCGGUGUGCCUAAUACAUGCAAGUCGAGCGAACAGACGAGGAGCUUACUCCUCUGACGUUAGCGGCGGACGGGUGAGUAACACGUGGAUAACCUACCUAUAAGACUGGGAUAACUUCGGGAAACCGGAGCUAAUACCGGAUAACAUGUUGAACCGCAUGGUUCAACAGUGAAAGACGGUCUUGCUGUCACUUAUAGAUGGAUCCGCGUCGCAUUAGCUAGUUGGUAAGGUAACGGUUUACCAAGGCAACGAUGCGUAGCCGACCUGAGAGGGUGAUCGGCCACACUGGAACUGAGACACGGUCCAGACUCCUACGGGAGGCAGCAGUAGGGAAUCUUCCGCAAUGGGCGAAAGCCUGACGGAGCAACGCCGCGUGAGUGAAGAAGGUCUUCGGAUCGUAAAACUCUGUUAUUAGGGAAGAACAAAUGUGUAAGUAACUAUGCACGUCUUGACGGUACCUAAUCAGAAAGCCACGGCUAACUACGUG
rnacentral:rRNA from 1 species